AGCUCUCAAAUGUGUACAACAUUUGGACGUGGGUGUCGUUUGCCGGUCGCAAGAUUGGCUCACCCUAAACACAUUAGCUGGCUAUCUUUUUGGUCCGCAUAUACUCGGUGUGAUAAUGAUCACUCGCUGAGUUUGGUACGAAAAGAAAGCUGCUUCUAAAAUCCUUACUAUUAAAAAGU
rnacentral:misc_RNA from 1 species